ensembl:lncRNA
GUGGACUUCCUGUACCGGACCAUCAGGCUUCAGUCGAUGACCUUUUAUCUACUGAACAGCAUGAUGGCCUGUGCUGUCUUUUCUUGUUCCUUCUGCUGGCACAGGCUGGACAUCUGAAAGUCUUCAGUAUUUAUAUGACAUUUGCUCAGAAUUUGUGAUAGCAUAGAAUCUAUUACAAAACUAAAGUAAAUCACAGUUUAUUGUAAAAAAGUUUGAGGACAGCCUGGAAGAGGAAGUCAGGUCAAGGAAAUGAGAGGGAGGAUGAAAAGUGAUGCUGUGACAGCAGUAAAAUGAACCCUUUUGCUGGAAAGGAAGGCAAGGCUGAACAAUCAUGAGUCUGAUGUGAUCAGUUCAUGAACACCAUCAACCAUAUGAGUACAUUUGACGUAAAUCAGUCACAUUAGGAAAUCAAAACCAAAGGAUGUGUCUCUCAACAGAACAUCUCCCUGUUUCUGACCUCAUUAUUAAAGUGCCUGCAUGUAAAAAAAAGUUAGGCCUCUGUGUGGCGUCUGGAUCCCUCACAGCUCAGGUGCUGAAGAGCGGAGCGGUGAUGACCAUCUGCAGGGACUUCAAACAAACUGCCAUCUGCUUCAGAUUACCACAAAUAAAGCGGCCCACCAAUAAACCAGCCAGAGAGAGAAAGAGAGAAAGGUGGCAUGCGUACAGCUCUCAUCAAUCACUUUCACUUCUUCUCACAAUCUAAACAGAUUCCCAAAACUCUCUCCCACCUGUGUUGUGGCCGCAGUUGCUAAUUUAAUUAUAUUUUACUUGUUGGCGCUCAGAGUGGAAUAAAUGCCCUUAGCUGAAUGUGCAAUUGUUUAAAAGUAUGGAAACCACUAAAAGUAAUAUACAGUAUCUAUCAGUCUGUCCCAGUGAAGGUUCUCUGAACACUUACUCAGCAAAUGGUUGUUAUGGUGCCAUUUCAGGUGUGUUAAUGCAAAUGAAAACAUCUGUUCACUCUCAGACAUUCAUUAGCGGUGAUAAAUCAGUGGUUAGAGAGCUCCUCGGAGAAGAGAUGUCUCAUUCUACCAUCUCCACAGUCAUCAGAGUCAUUGCUUACUGACUAUGACACCGGAGCAUAAUGAGGCCACCAAGUUCAUCAAAAUUACCCAGUGUGAGGAAUGAAACAAGCCCCAAAUCAGACAAAUAACCUCUUCUCUUGCUUCAGUACACUAUAUUUGCCAGAGAUACAAAGUCAUAGUAUGUCUAAAAAAUAUUAAAUUAAAUUCACCUACUUCUCAUUAUUUGUUUUACAGCAUUAUGCAUACAGACACAUAUACAAACAUGACAUUGAAGAGCUAUAUUUAAGUCUCAUGUCCAUGCCUUUCUAUAGCUUCGAUAUUUAAAACUGAUACUGCAGUCUACAUUAACUGUGACGUUUUGAUUAAAAUGCAGCUAACAGCACUGACAUGUGUGGAGGUGUUUUAUAUAGAGUGGGCUGGUUUCUUGGACUCAGAAGUGCAAGUUUAAGAGUCUGGAGUUUGGAACUUAAAAUAAUUGCAGAGAUAAGACAUCUGGACAAAAAGUCUUGACCCUUAUCAGCUGACUAACUAUACAUCCAGCGAUCACCCUGCCUUGUGCUGUUUGAUUUCAUUACACUGACAAAAUAUGAAUGCAACUAUUCAUGCCUGCCUCAUGCACAAAUCUGCUGGAUUAUAUCAGCAAACAUAAUCAGAGUAAAACAGAGCCUCAGAGUAAAAAAAAAAUAAAAAUCAUGAGAUAAAGCUUAAAAUAAGAUAUAAUGUUUUUUAAACAAAUUGUGAGAAAUAAAUUGCAAUUGUUGGAUAUAAGAUUAAGCUGUGAGAUAAAAAGAGAUGAAAUCGAUAUUUUUUGUAACUCUGGGAUGGAAACAGACUUCCAAAAAAUAACCCAAAAUCUUGGAAUAAAAUAUUUUUCCAGAGGACAGCCACACUAAGAAGCAAUAACAAUAUUUGAAUUAUUAAACACACAUUAUAUCAAAGUCCUGCAUAUCAAUAACACCACCUAAAAUCCCAAAUCCACAAAAAAUUAAUAUGGUCCAGACAAACCAGCCACACUAAUAAACAAUAUUUGCAUCUUUAAUCAUAUGAGGCCUGUAUAUCAACCAAAACAUAAUUCCUUAAAGGAAGAGAUUUACCUUCAUUUAAUGUCACAUCAGCUCAUUGUCCCAUGAUGCUUUGGUGUCAGAUCCUCUCUAAUUCCAUUUCAGAUCACCAAUGUUAUGCCAUAUUCAAAUUAAAAGUCAUCACCCCAUUCCCAAGUCAAGUCAAGAUUGAGGGUUAUAAGCAAUAAAGGGCUAUGAAUAAAAGUAAAUUAAAUGACUGCCACAGUCUCUUGAUAGUAACACCCAGGAUUAAGGGAAAAAUAUUGACUUGAUCAGUACUUCUGAAUCUGUUUUUUAGGUUGGAUUUAUUGUCAGCUACACCCACCAUUGUCCGAGCAUAGAUAGAGAUGGUGAAAGGAAGAAGACUGCAUGAAGAGAAGAAGUAAUGGAUAUUGUAAAAGACAAUCUGACACCAGUUUUGCGGUGUUCUUCAGAAACUUGCUACCAGUCAAUGUGCUUUUAAUUCCUGCGCAGGGUGAAUCUGAUCUCUGUCUUGGCUCUGGCCUCGGCCUACAGUGAGUGAGUGAGAGUGUGGAGAGUGUAUUAGUGAUCAAUAGAGCACACACACUAUCACACAUGAUAUUGUGUGAUUGUAUUAAAUAAUCAGCAUAGGAAACUGAAUGGUUACAAUAACUUUUGAAUGAAAUUAUCUCUGACAUGCACUGAAAGGUUCGUUGUGGUUUCCAGAUCGCGGCUCUGUGAACUCACCAAAAUCCUGUCAAACUGCACUUGUCUUCCACAAGCUAACAUUCCUGGUUUAAUCUGGGACAGAGUUUAUACUCGGCACAGCUUUAAAUCUUGUUAGUAGUUGAUGUAAUAUUUUUCUCAUUAUGUUUUUGUGCCUUACAUGCUUGCUGAACUGCAUCAAAUUAUAAUCUUAUGCAAUUCUGUCUACGGAUGAGUCAGGUCAACUAGACAGGCUAAAAUGUCUUAAUGAAGGAUUUGUUUUAUUACAAACACAGUUUUUCACUUCACAAGACAUUAAAUUAUGGACUGGAGUCAUGUGGAUUACUUGUGGAUAAUUGUGAUGUUUUUACGAGCUAUUUGGACUCUCAAAUAGCUCAUAAUUUGGACUCUCAUCUCAUUUGGACGGCACCCAUUCACUGCAGAGGAUCCAUUGGUGAGUAAGUAUUGUAAUGUAAAAUUUCUCCAAACCUGUUUUGAUGAAGAAACAAACUCAUGUACAUUUUCAAUGGACCUAAGGGUGAGUAAAUUUGUAUUGAAUUUAGAUUUUUGGGUGGAUUAUUCUUUUAAAGCAAUGUUGCUACAGGUGCAAGUGGCAUUUUUGUAAAAAAAAAAAAAAAAAGGAGGAGGAAGAAGAAGAAGUGUGGUUAUGGUCUGAAUUUUUUUUUUUUUUUUUUUUUUUUUUUUAAGGCUACAUCGGGUAAGUGUUACUGCAGAUGUCAUUGUUUCUCUGUGUUGAGUGAUCCAUGAAAAUGUUGUGGUGCCCUGCCACAACCUUUUACCCACAAACCCUGGGAGCACAGGGUUAAAGGUCAGGCCGAUGGUUUGUGAGUGGAGUUGAUUGUCAAGUUAUUCAAAAUAUGUGUUAGGUGAGUAAAUUAGUUAAACUUAAAAAAAGAACCCAAAUCAGUCACAAAGAUAAUAUACUGUUCAACAUUCAACAGAUCUUAUAUCAUUUACAAACUUUAAAUAUUAUAGAUAAUUAUUACCAAACUUACUUCGAAAUUGAGUUUUCUUUCAUCUUCCAAAAUAUCUGCAUAGCGAUGCUCAGCAAUGGCAGGUCUCUGCUAAAAGGCACCCUCCGUCAUCUUUGAUGUCAGUGACACGAGCAGCUUUCCCAGAGCUCCUACUGACCCUUAAUCAACGAACAUUUAUCCAUAAAGCAUGAUCAAGACGGGGCAGAACUGAAUGCAGAUGAGUCCAUGCAGGAGCUGUAACUCAAUCCCCAACCAUCUGACCCUUGAACUCAAAAAACUCCAUCAGCUAAAUCAAUUCAGCUAAUUAUCCAAUACUGGGAGAUUAGUUGCUCU